AGGGGAGGCGCUGACGUCAGGCUUUCGAGCGGUGACGUCAGACUGAGCGGUGACGUCACGGUGAGGUCUGUCGGCUGAUGUCACUCCUGGCUUCCUCCCGGGCGCGAUGGCGUCACACCGCAGCUGCGGGGCGGCUCUGACCCGUCCUGCGCGGCCGCGGCGCUGCCCUGGGUGAGCCGGGGCCUGUGGAAGCGUCAGGGCCGAGCGGUGUCGGCAGAGGGCCCGUGCUAAACCCCCCCUUGCACUCCUUGGUAAUCGUGUUUGGCCCGUUUUUACAUGGACUGAACAGCAGAGUUUCCAGCUCUGCGUAACUCAGUGCCUGAGCAGCCUGUGAGGAGCCGUGGGCCCAAAGAAAGCCCUGAAGGUUUCUGCUGAAGGGGCAGCUGCUGAUCCCAGUGGGAAUCAGCUGGGAGCAGCUGCACUGCUCACUCAGCUGAAGUUGAGGAAAAAUAGAAUGGAAGAACACAUGCACAGAAUUUAUUUUUAACAAGAUAAACCAAGAUACUGACUUUGUUGUCCUCUACUCCAGGUGUUCCUGCUAAAGAGACAAUGACUUGCAGAGGAUUAGAAUAACAACAAAGGUCAGUGAUUCUUAGUCAGUGUGAGAUGGUGAAAUGACAGUUGGAGCAUGAAAUUUCCUGCACUUCCAGUAUGUGUGUGAAAUUAUGUAGAAAAAACAGGGAUUCAAGAAAUAACAGUGGCAUGGUGCAGCCUGAUAUGAGAAAAAAGACAAAGCUUGAACAUUUGAAUGAUCUGAGUUACAUAAGUAUAUUCUAUUUCUGCUGGUCUGAGUAUAAUAAAAGUAUAAAACUCAUUCCUAUUUAAACAGAAUUCUAUCUUUUGAAACUGAAAAUGGUGUAGUAGUUUAAAACAAAUAGUAAUGGUAUUUUGUAACACAAUUUCACUGUUGUAUUAUCAAGUCCAUUUAAUAUUUUUGGACUCAUUGCCUUGAAUUUGUGAUUUUUACAACUGAUUUCUCCAGGCAGAUGUUUCUAGGUCACAGGAUAGGAUCUUUUGUGUCACGAUUACUCUUUUCAUAAAGAACAAAAUAUCCUUUCCUUUAUACAGAAGCCUCUUUCAUUUUAGGAACCAGGAGAACUAAGAUGUACCUAUUGUACAGAAAUGCUUCUCAUGAGCUUACAAGACCUUUGUAUUAUUGGCACUCAAUUUUAUCAUGAGUCUCAGGUAAUGAUAUUUUUUUCCCCUCAGAUUUGGAUUUAAUGAACUUUUUAUAGCAAAGAAUGUCAACAUUAACUAUUUGCCUGAUACUUUUUUUCCUCCUCAAAGUGAAUAUGUGGACUGUGGACUGUUCUUACAAUUUCAUUUUCAUUCCCUGAUGAACUUACAAAUUGCAAAAGAUGGCAAAUGAGAGAGUCCAGUGUUGAUGGCUUCCCAAUACCAAAGUAUCCCAAGAAAAGGGGAUUGUGCCAUAAAGCACAAUGCAGUUACAGCUCUCUGAGGAAAAGAGAUUUCAGGCCUGUGGUGCUCUUCUGACUCCUUCAAACACCAAAAAAAGAUCUGCUGAGGGGAUGAAGUGGGGGCUGGAGAACUGAAGGUACAUUAUGCAUUCCUGCUGCACUUUUAAACUCAUUUAUUUACACACUGAAAAACCACAGGUUACCUGGCCAUCUGCUGAGACCCCUGGGUGGAUUUUGCAGGUCACUGAGCUCUGUGCUCGCAGACCUCAAGGCACCUCAUUAAAACCCAUGCAGGUAUGUCCACACCAGCUGUACUUACACCACCUGACAGGGGAAUUCCAGUUAGGCAGUACCUGAAUGGCAUUUAAUGGCACCAAGGCUUCUGAUAGUUCAGUCCAAGCACGUUGUAGAUAAUACCUGGAAUGAGUAAUAAGACCUGAUAAUGCAGGGAGAAAUAACAUAUGUUAAAUAGGCUUUUGUCCCUCCAGGUUUAAGUUUCACCAGCCUAUUUUCAGAGCACUGCCUCAAAUUGCCCAAGUGGUAGUUCUGCACCUGGGCAUGCUGCAGGAA